rnacentral:tRNA from 1 species
UUAAAAAGAUGAGAAUCGAACUCACAACAAAGAAAUCAAAGUUCUUCGUUUUUCCUAUUAAACUACUCUUUA